rnacentral:rRNA from 1 species
GACCUGCACGAAUGGCGUAACGACUUCUCGACUGUCUCAACCAUAGGCCCGGUGAAAUUGCACUACGAGUAAAGAUGCUCGUUUCGCGCAGCAGGACGGAAAGACCCCGGGACCUUUAC